UCGCCGCUCGAUCCAACUCCUCCCUCUCCCUCGGUCUCGCCUCUCCUAUGGUUCGCCGCCCGCCGCCGUACCCCGCCGCCCUGCUCCGCUGUUGCCCCUCCCUCCGCCUGCCUCGUCCCUGCUCUAGGGUUCGCCGCCCGCCGGAGCCCCCCGCCGCCCUGCUCCGCUGUUGCCCCUCCCUCCGCCUGCCUCUCCCCCUCCCCUACACUCACCCCUGCCCGAUCUGGAUCUGGAUGAGGCGUUGCCUCCCGUUCCUCUCAUCGCGUCCCUUCUGCCAGCCAUGGAAGAGGGGAGGAAGAAGCUUCUCUGUAGAAUCAGCCGAUCGAGCGGGCUCCUGAUGUUGGCUUGCGAGAAUGCGGCAGAUCUCGUCGAUGCUGCAGGGCCUGGCCCGUUCCAUGUCUCUGGGAAAGGAUAGGAAGAUGGAGGAGGAGCACCAGGGGACGGUGCUGCGGUCGUCGGGGACGCUCUGGGGCGAGGGCUCCGAGACGUUCUCUGUCGCGUGCUGGACGUACAAGCACCAGCACCACUGCUGGCCGUUUCCUCCAUACUGACAGAUCGCCGUGUUGCUAUCCUUGUAUGUUGUAGCCAGGAGGGGAGGUAGGCGCGGUGCCGCUCAUGGCCGUGGCGUCGUGCUUGUGGUAGUGGUGAAUUGGAGAGAACGGCCUCCUAUCUAUGCACGUCCAUCUACUGCGGGCUUUCCCUCUUCCAGCAACAUCAUGUCUCAGUUUGCCGCCGCCAUUCAUCCGGAUGGCCCUGGACAUACAUACCAGCACCACACCCUUCCUCCUGUUGCUGGGGACGCAGCUAUCAUCGGUCCUCUGUUGUCAGCAGCCCGGACGUACAAGCCGUCGAAGCUGACGUUCCUUUGCACAGGCUGCACAGACGGGUGUACAAGUUGUUGCUUCUGUUCAUCCACGCGCCAGUGACUCACAUACGUUGCUAGCUUUUGUUACUUGGUCCAUCCCUAGGAAGCAAUAAGAUUACUUCGGUAUGCAUAUACACGUUGCUAGCUACGUGCAGGGUAUCUCAAGUUCACAAAUAUUUAUGAGAUUGUUUUACUAGCUUUUGUUAUUAUUUGGCCCUUUAGUAUGCAGAUUGAUCUCAACAUUCAUAAGAAUCUUCAAAAAAAAGGAGAUGAAAAUACUUCAAGUAGUUCUGAGUGGAGAUCAUUUGAUAGCAUUUUGUUGUAGCAUCUACAGAAGACCUUUUCAUUUCAUUUUACCGAGAAACGCUGGAGGGUUCAUGUUUUCCUUAUCCAGGACAUUUUGAAGGUUCCUGAUGCAUUCUUACAAGAAGCAACAAUCCAGAGGUAAUUAGUGAAAUGAUAAGAGGGUCAAUUAAUGGUGUUCAAUUUUUCCUUCAAGCAAACAGUUUGUACCCAAAUACAAUACUAUUCAGUAUCAUCCUGAAACCAAUAUCUCAAAGAUUCAUUCUUUAUGAAUUCGAGCCUUGGCAAACCACUCCCAUUACAAGGUUCCAUAAACAUGCUGGUUUUGUAUGUCGAUAUUCAAAUUAAUUGGGCAAAAAAUAGAUAUAUUUACUCUGAUGUUUUUACAUAUUCAGGUGAAUAGCAUCCUGUUUUUACUUCAAAUAAUUAACAAAAAAUUAAAGAUCGUGAUUAUGUUGUUUAUUAAAUUCCUCUUGCAUUAUCUUUGAUGAAAAGUAUAUUAUCUGUCAGCAACGAUAUGUUAAUAUGGGAAAAGGAAAGUCAAAAUAUGUUAUCUCAGGCCAAUAUUCUGAAAUUAGUGAAGCCCUAUAGUAUUUACUGGAUUGAUCGCGACACUGCUCAUAUUUUUUGGUACUUUAAUAUCUGGAAUAUUUCCUUUAAUCAUGAGCCGAGGAGAUGAUGGGUUGCAGGCACGCGCCCCGUCCUUCUCUUGUUUAAGGUUUGGCGAAUGCAUUAAGUUUGGAGAGGAAACUAACAUGAAUGACCAGGCGAUCUUUUUCUGACCUUUUUCUCCCUUUCUAAUUACUCCUCUCAUUUCCUCUAUUCUUCUUAGCCAUCUACUUUUCUAUCGCCAUAUUGAUCUCUAAACUCACUUCAUCUUUUUUCUUCCAAUUCAUCCGAUUGUUGUGUUCCAAGCACACAUGUCAUAAAGCAUCACCUCCUGCUUGUUCGAACAUGUUUGAUGUACUUACAUAUUAACAUGUUUGAUGUACUUACGCAUUAACAAAACUGAUCAGUAACAUUCAUGCCGAAUUAUUUGGGUUUGGUCCUCUGCUUUUUUACUGUUUAUUUAUUGAUGAAGAUAGCAGAUGUUCAUGUUUUUAAAUAUAGUUACAUGUGUUUGUACAAAAAAAAUAUCCAGUUGGUAGAGAUCAAAAAAUUAACUCACUGAUGCAAGGAAAAAGAGCUCUUUUAUAGACACUGCCAGCAGUGGAUACAUGGUGAGCCUUUCUGAAUGUGUUUUAUGAAAUAAGGCUAAUUUAAGGUCAUUUUUUUGUUGGAUAAAAAACAGACAGUUGGUUAUUGGGUUAUUCGUGUUUGUUCUCAAUUUCUCAUGUCGCUCUCUUCUCUGUCCAGGGAUACGGGUGCCAGGACGACACCAUCUUCUGCGUCGUCUGCCUUCCUCUCCUCCAGCGGGAGAGGCCCAUGCCUUCCUCUCCUCCUGCGUGGUGGAAGAUGGCCGCAGUUAACGGCGCUCCUGCGAGCGGGGGACACGAGUGCGGUGCAGACAGUGACCAGGUGUGACGAGACAGCCGCCGGCCGCCUGUGGGCGGUUCUUUCACGUGCUGUAGACCGUGCCAUUCUAUGACGAGGAUGUGUUCCAGGAAAUGGAAACAAAUGAAACUGGAUGCUCAUCAUGUAUUUCAUGAAGAAAUUUGCAUGUCUGGGGCAUGUCUCCGUAUAAAAGGCCGAUCUCUGCACAACAGUAGUUUCUUCAGGUUAUGGUGUCCGAUUUUUUUCAUCUCAUUUUGCCAUGCACUAGAUUACAUGGUUAAUACUGUCACUAUGCAAUAACUGGGAAGAUUAUGGAGGGAAGGGACAAUAUGUAAGAUGGGGCAAGGAGGCUGGUGUAGAUCUUGCUUCUCAUGAUGACUUCAUAUCUGAUGCAACACUUCAGAGCUACUACAAAAGCUUUUUUUAGGAAGCUACUACAAAGCUUUUUUUCGGAAGCUACUACAAAGCUUUUGUUCAGGAAAUAUGUCGAAGCACAGAAUAUAUUCCAUUUGCAGUGGACUACCAGAACAACACAACACAUAAAAAGAGGAGUAUAAGUGGAAACCUUUCUUUCUCUUUAAAUUCUUGAGGACGGUAACAUUAUGAUGAAGGUGGAACCAUAGAGAGAUGUGUAUUUUUAAUUGAGAUAUUUUCAGGAGUACCUUUGCAAAGCUGAUAUAUCUUUCUUUUACAAGAUAUGGUUGCACUUGCUUCAUCUACAUAGGCCGUCUGGAAUGCCAUGAGGCCGGGAUUGGUGUAGGAAAUCUUCAAAGCUAUUAUAUUGGUCUCCAGAAACUUGCAAUACAUCAAUGCAUUUUUAUUUUUAUUUUUUUGCUGACACCACAGCUACCACCUCUUCACUAAAUGACAGAGGUUGCCAGCAACUGCACAUGGAAAGAUUGAAUGUUAUAUUCUGUCUACUAAUCAAUAAGGAGGGAGAUCAAAUUACUGCUCUCAAAUAUUCACUUGAUUGAUUUUGAAAAUAGGGUUAAAAAUGGUGUUAUGAAUGAAGAUGGAUGGGGGUGAGGGCUGGGAGAAAGAUGUUGUAUUGCAAGAAGAAGUUGGUUAAGAAGACUGAUGAUUAUGAGAAUGAAGGACACGAACUUUUGAAUUAAACCAAUUGUUUGAUCGAUCAUUUUUGUUCUCUUGAAAACGUUGUAUGGUCAAUUUUAGUAUUCUGAUGUGAUUGAAGAAUAUAGGAGCGACAAAGAGAUGUGCUAUUGCCAGGACAAUUAUGACUCUAUUCAGGUAUUCAGUUAUGAUUCUCCAUGGUCAUGCUUCUCCUGUUCACCUGGAAGUUUAUUGAUGGGAGGGAAGCCACUUCUGCUUUGAUGAUUUCUUGAAAGUUCAGCUAGGUGAAUUUACGAUCAGUAUAUACAAGUCAGGUUGUUUGCGAGAGAAUUUCAUUCCCUAGAAUCAUUGUCAUUGUUGUUGCCUACAAGGUACUUGAAGAAAAUGCCCGAGACAUAUUUUAAGGAGUAUAAUUCAGCACUAAGGUUAUUAUUACAACGAUGAAAUCUUUGUUGUGGUAGUUAUGUCUUCAAAUGCGUCGAUCCCCAUCGGCUUACUGAAGUAAACUUUUUUUGUUGAUUUCUAUUGGCUUACUGACAGCUUGUUUAUUCUUUUCGAAUUUUAAUUCCUUGAUCUUUGCCUCUGCCCAUCUCCAUAUCACACAGAAGGUGCUCAGUGCAAUGCAUCAUGCAGUGAUUCCAUGAUAGCUACUCCCUCCGUUCCAAAUUACUUGUCUUAGAUUUGUCUAGAUACGGAUGUAUCUAAACUCAGUAUCUAGACAAAUCUAAGACAAGUAAUUCGGAAUGGAGGGAGUAGGAAUUAGGAACUGCCCAUCAUUUGUAUGUUUCUACAAUUUUCCUGCUUGUUGGAACAUGUUUGAUGUACUUACACAUUAACAAAAAUGAUCCGUAACAUUCAUGAAAA